AGCUUUGCGCAGUGGCAGUAUCGUAGCCAAUGAGGUUUAUCCGAGGCGCGAUUAUUGCUAAUUGAAAUCUUAUCAUCCUUUUUCUAAAUAUCUGUAGAGUUAGUAAGAAAGUAAUAUUUCAUUCCUGACCUGAUACUGG